AAACCAUGGUGUGUGCACUCUCUCUGCAAAUCCUUGAACCUUUCCCAGACUUCAAACAAGCUCUCGUAUGCCUGUUGGGUAAUGGAAAUUAUCUCUCCCCUCAGACG
rfam:Spinacia oleracea cultivar SynViroflay scaffold39488.con0001.1, whole genome shotgun sequence.